AAAUAAUAGGUUUUUUUAAUUUUUUUUUAAUUACUUUAAUUAUUUAUUAUAUUUUAAUAUUUAACAGUUAUUUUGUUAAUUGUAAUUUUCAAUUUAUAAUUGAACAUAAGGAUAAUAUUGCUAUUUUAAAAAUAAUUAGCCUAAUGAGACAUAAAGUAUAUGAGAUUAGUCUAAUGAGACAUAGUUACCAUUUUUUGUCUAAAAAAAACAAUUUUUUUCCUAUAUCUAAUAUGGUAGGUUUUAAAACCGAAGUGAUUAUUACCUCUUUUUUUUCUUUGGAUCAGUUUGGAUAUGUUGCAAC
rnacentral:lncRNA from 1 species